AUCAUUUCUCUUCAUGCAUGGUUGGCUUUAGGCGGCUCCUGCCACAUUCCCUCUUCGUGCUCCGAAUUUGCAGCCUUCGUGCAGCGUGCAGGUUCCACGAUCAUGGGAUUUGAACCGUCCCUUAGGCUUACAUAAACUUCUCCCGUGUAGCAGAUCAUUCCUCAUUUCCUUCUUGCGCCGAGCGAGUGCUUUUGGUCCAUUUCUUUUCUGAAGCUUCCCGUGUCUACUCUGCCACUCUUCCCUAUCCUCUUAUGGCUUCUAUGAAUCCCGCUCGUGCGGCCCCAAAAUAAUCUAAGACCUUAUUUUGCACAAUGCAUUUCUAGUCUGCAUCCACUAUACGAUACCCAUGAGUAAGAAGAACAAGAAAGAGCGAUACCAAGAGGAGUUAGAAGAGCGCAUUGUGUCACUGAUUGCGUCAUUAUUUAAGUAGGAAGGGAAGUUGUAUAUACCUGCUAAUGAUCUACAGACCGAAUGGCAUCUCCUCCCCUUCUACAUAAAGAGUGGAGGGCAAGUCAUGGGUUCCAUCUUGCCUGGCUGUAUGAGUUGCAUUGGCCCGUGCGUUAAUUGCCGUAAUCCUGGGUCAUCUUUGGUGCUCUGAGCACCCUCAAAUGAGAGCCAGAAUUGAAUUACUACUAAAAAACAGCAAAAGCUUGCUCGGAAGGACGUCAAGGAUAUACUUCAGGAAUUUCAUGACAAUAUUGGUGAUUUGGAUGGACGAGAAGAGAGAGCGAGCACAAGGAAAGAUUCAUAGGUUUAUUUCAGCCUUUUGAUUUCUAAGGUUGUAGACUAAACUUGUGCCAAACUGAAGGUAGUUCCGCUGAAGGUAAUGAGACUAUGAGAGACAUGUUUGUUUCAUUGUGAAAUGUUCCACCGUUUACAUUCAAAGUAAUCUUUUUAUGAACUUCCAUUCUUUGGAGCUAAUUUUGCUGGGGACAACAUUUUUUUUCCUUCUCUCAAGAUUCAAGAAUAUAUUUUUAGUUAGUCGGUGCCAAAAUCGUGAUUUUCUAUGACUCUUGAACGAUUAAAGGAUGGCAUAGAGGUAUCGCACGGUUCAUGGAAAGAAGUUACACUUAUCUAUUCAGGGAAGGGAAAGGAAUAAGUUUUACUAGGAUUUUCUUGUGAGGUUGUUGUGUUAGGAUCCGAUGAAGCUGAUAUAUGCUUAAGUAGUACUUCUGUUUAUCCGCACAUCGUUAGCAAUUUAUGAGGUGACGGGAGCAAAAGGUGCCCUCUACUUCUAUUCAUUUUUUUAUUGAUUGGUACCAGGUGUGCAAGAACAAUGUCCCGACUUAUCUCGGUAGCACACAGGUUACUUCUAUUCAUAGAUCUCUUGAUUCUUAAUUUUACACCUGUAAGGAUUGGUAUGUUUAUAUUAAAUGGUUUGAUGUAAUGAACAUUUUAAAU